rnacentral:rRNA from 1 species
UACGAAGGGGGCUAGCGUUGCUCGGAAUCACUGGGCGUAAAGCGCACGUAGGCGGACUCUUAAGUCGGUGGUGAAAUCCUGGAGCUCAACUCCAGAACUGCCUUCGAUACUGCCGUGCUUGAGGACUGGAGAGGAGACUGGAAUUUACGGUGUAGCGGUGAAAUGCGUAGAUAUCGUAAGGAAGACCAGUGGCGAAGGCGGGUCUCUGGACAGUUCCUGACACUGAGACACGAAGGCCAGGGGAGCAAACGGG